AUUUAGAGACUCAAUCUAGAUGCAACCGCCCAAAUCUUAAAUCCAAAUAGAAUCCUUGGUUUAUUCUUAACCAAAUUAGCCUCAAACACAAUUCAAAAUUGAACCCUUAGUUUAUUUAGCUAAAUUCACUCAAUACAAUUCAAAUCAAAUUUUCCUUGCAAUGAGUUAUUUAUUCAUUGCAAUUCUUUGAACUACAAGUGGCUUGAUU
rnacentral:lncRNA from 1 species